rnacentral:rRNA from 1 species
UUGGAGGGCAAGUCUGGUGCCAGCAGCCGCGGUAAUUCCAGCUCCAAUAGCGUAUAUUAAAGUUGUUGCAGUUAAAAAGCUCGUAGUUGAACCUUGGGCCUGGCUGGCCGGUCCGCCUCACCGCGUGUACUGGUCCGGCCGGGCCUUUCCUUCUGGAGAUCCCCAUGCCCUUCACUGGGUGUGCGGGGGAACCAGGACUUUUACUUUGAAAAAAUUAGAGUGUUCAAAGCAGGCCUUUGCUCGAAUACGUUAGCAUGGAAUAAUAGAAUAGGACGUGCGGUCCUAUUUUGUUGGUUUUUA